AAGCCCCUUCGAGAGCUGCAGGCCUUCGCCCGGUCCCAGUCGGAGUACCGCGCUGAAAGUGGCAAAGUCGCGCGAACUUAGGGCAAAUCAUGGCCGGGAACGAGGAUUAGGAGUGGAUAAAGCACCCUUUAUUUAUAAAUACAACACGAACCACAUAAACCGUUCCGUAAAGCCUGAAGGAACUGAAAAGUGCCCAUAAAUAUAAUCCAGACGUCGCCUGCAGGCAGCUGUUCGUCCAGGGAUGCACGUAUUCGAUACAGGUGGUACCGAUGGUUCCCCAUACAGGAAGAGGUAACUUGCUGUAAAUUUGGGUCAUUUUCACAUCACUACGACACUCCGCGACCACGGAAUCGCUAAAUAGAACUCUGGAUAUUGACCAUUGAAGUUUCACUUUUACCUGUGCUUACGAAGACAUGUAAACAAGCCCCAAAACCCACCCUACAACGACCCCAGACGCCCCAAAACCCAUUACAUAACAACAACAACAAACAAAAAAUGCAUACUCACCACAUAGACCGUGCCGUAGACCCUGAGGGAGUCGAAGAUAGCGUACAAGUAGAGGCCGGAAAUCCCCUGCAGACAGCUGUCAGUCCAGGGAUGCACGUAGUCGAUGCAGGUGGUUUUGAUGGUUCCUGUUACGGGAAGCGGGAACUUGCUGUAGAUCUGGGCCAUUUUCACGCGACCGCACACGAAACUGCUACAGGUUUCCGAGGAACGAGCAUCUAACUUGGAUUUCGAUUAUUGUCGCGGGUCACGCAAGGGCUCUUCGAGAAGACAUGUAAUCGAGUUUAUUUUGGGUUUGCGUCACAACAUCUUGAGCAGAAUGACAGGAGUCACGGAUGAAUCCACUUUCACGGGAGAACAGCUGAUGGCAUCGAUAACCUCAUUCGGAGUUGUUCUUUGUGUUUACAAGUUUAGUUGGGGCGGCGGCGGGGAGAUGGCGGGAGGCGGAACGGGGGCUGCAAAAGAGAACAGGAGCGUUGGGGGUUAUAAAGUUAAGAAACACGUAGUUUAGAUAGCUGAUUUAAAGGCAGUGGUACAAUUUUGAGGAUAAAGGGUUGUAGUUUGAGCUUAGUGUGUUUGCGUGGGUUGGUACUGUUAAUUUAUGUCAACAGUGUCACUUGUCAGGGGUGUAACAGUGUCAGCAAUAUAAGGUUUGAUUAAAGAGCUGUGUCUGAAACAAAGAUUUUAAAAUAUAUUUUUACUUUGAGUUGAUCUUGGAGUUUCUUCCUAUCGUUGGAGAAUACCGUACGGUCCUGACAAUGCAACAUACAUAAAAAGUGGCGCAUUUCAACCAAACAGUUGGUACCCUUGGCACAACAAAUUGUCAAAUUCUAACCUACAAAUUCUCAAACAAAUGCAAAACAAUG